rnacentral:rRNA from 1 species
UACGUAGGGAGCAAGCGUUGUCCGGAAUUAUUGGGCGUAAAGCAUCCGUAGCCGGCUCUGUUAGUUUUCGGUUAAAUCCAUAUGCUCAACAUAUGGGCUGUCGAAAAUACUGCAGAGCUAGGGAAUGGGAGAGGUAGACGGUACUUGGUAGGAAGGGGUAAAAUCCUUUGAUCUAUCGAUGACCACCUGUGGCGAAGGCGGUCUACCAGAACAUGUUCGACGGUGAGGGAUGAAAGCUGGGGGAGCAAACCGG